rnacentral:rRNA from 1 species
CCUACGGGAGGCAGCAGUAAGGAAUAUUGGUCAAUGGACGAGAGUCUGAACCAGCCAUGCCGCGUGAAGGAUGAAGGCCCUCUGGGUUGUAAACUUCUUUUACAGGGGACGAAAAACGGCCAUUCUUGGUCACUUGACGGUACCCUGGGAAUAAGCACCGGCUAACUCCGUGCCAGCAGCCGCGGUAAUACGGAGGGUGCAAGCGUUAUCCGGAUUCACUGGGUUUAAAGGGUGCGUAGGUGGGUUGGUAAGUCAGUGGUGAAAUCUUUCCGCUUAACGGGAAACUGCCAUUGAUACUAUCAGUCUUGAAUUUUCUGGAGGACAGCGGAAUAUGUCAUGUAGCGGUGAAAUGCUUAGAUAUGACAUAGAACACCGAUUGCGAAGGCAGCUGUCUACGGGGAUAUUGACACUGAGGCACGAAAGCGUGGGGAUCAAACAGGAUUAGAUACCCUGGUAGUCCACGCCCUAAACGAUGGAUACUCGACAUUCGCGAUACACAGUGAGUGUCUGAGCGAAAGCAUUAAGUAUCCCACCUGGGAAGUACGACCGCAAGGUUGAAACGUCAAAGGAAUUGACGG